UCCUACGAUUUAGAAACCUGUUUGCUAACGGAGUCUCAGGGCUCACACUAAUAGCAGGUGGGAAAUUCGGUGAAUCACUGCGGAACCCGACAGAGCCUAACAAGCUUUGUCGACCGGUUGCCUUGGCGACUUUUCCGUGAGGAGGGCCUGGGGAACCAGGCUCAUAUGGUCAUUGUCACAAGAAAUCAACUCGGUAGUCCUGUACUAUCGAGGAUGGGAAGGCAAUGGACGUUCCGUUUAACUUGAUCUCAUCAAGGUUUGUUGAGUGCAAUCGUAGGACGGUCUUAGACCUGAA
rnacentral:RNase_P_RNA from 15 species